rnacentral:rRNA from 1 species
UGGGGAAUCUUGCGCAAUGGGCGAAAGCCUGACGCAGCGACGCCGCGUGCGGGAUGACGGCCUUCGGGUUGUAAACCGCUUUCAGCAGGGACGAGGCCGCAAGGUGACGGUACCUGCAGAAGAAGCCCCGGCUAACUACGUCGCC